rnacentral:sRNA from 1 species
ACGCAGGAAAGGAGGUGGUCCGAACAGUGAAGACGUUUGGGACUUGCGAGGUGUCCGUCCGCUAGGGCGACACGCUGAUAGCGGUUCGCUCUGGCGAAUCCACUUCGGACACCCGGAUCCCCGGGUCGCCGGGACUUGUCCACCCGGCGCGAUUGCGCCGCACGCGGCGGAGCCACCCCGGGGAUCUGUCCUUU